AGUGGCGAACGGGUGCGUAACGCGCAUGCAACCUACCCUAUACAGGGGGAUAGCCCGGAGAAAUCUGGAUUAAUACCCCAUGGUACUAAGUUGAGGCAUUUUGAUUUAGUUAAAGAUUCAUCGGUAUAGGAUGGGCAUGCGUCUGAUUAGCUAGUUGGCGGUGUAACGGACCACCAAGGCGACGAUCAGUAGGGGUUCUGAGAGGAAGGUCCCCCACACUGGCACUGAGAUACGGGCCAGACUCCUACGGGAGGCAGCAGUAGGGAAUAUUGGGCAAUGGACGAGAGUCUGACCCAGCCAUGCCGCGUGCAGGAAGACGGCGUUCUGCGUUGUAAACUGCUUUUAUCUGGGAAGAAAAAGUCCAUGCGUGGAAAAUUGCCGGUACCAGAUGAAUAAGCACCGGCUAACUCCGUGCCAGCAGCCGCGGUAAUACGGAGGGUGCAAGCGUUGUCCGGAU
rnacentral:rRNA from 1 species